GAUGAACGCUGGCGGCGUGCCUAAUACAUGCAAGUCGAGCGAAUGGAUUAAGAGCUUGCUCUUAUGAAGUUAGCGGCGGACGGGUGAGUAACACGUGGGUAACCUGCCCAUAAGACUGGGAUAACGCCGGGAAACCGGGGCGAAUACCGGAUAACCUUUUGAACCGCAGGGUUCGAAAGUGAACGGCGGCUUCGGCUGUCACUUAUGGAUGGACCCCGGUCGCAUUAGCUAGUUGGUGAGGUAACGGCUCACCAAGGCAACGAUGCGUAGCCGACCUGAGAGGGUGAUCGGCGACACUGGGACUGAGACACGGCCCAGACGCCUACGGGAGGCAGCAGUAGGGAAUCUUCCGCAAUGGACGAAAGUCUGACGGAGCAACGCCGCGUGAGUGAUGAAGGCUUUCGGGUCGUAAAACUCUGUUGUUAGGGAAGAACAAGUGCUAGUUGAAUAAGCUGGCACCUUGACGGUACCUAACCAGAAAGCCACGGCCAACUACGUGCCAGCCGCCGCCGUAA
rnacentral:rRNA from 1 species